CUGCGGAAGGAUCAUUACCGAGUGAGGGCCCUCUGGGUCCAACCUCCCACCCGUGUUUAUUUUACCUUGUUGCUUCGGCGGGCCCGCCUUAACUGGCCGCCGGGGGGCUUACGCCCCCGGGCCCGCGCCCGCCGAAGACACCCUCGAACUCUGUCUGAAGAUUGUAGUCUGAGUGAAAAUAUAAAUUAUUUAAAACUUUCAACAACGGAUCUCUUGGUUCCGGCAUCGAUGAAGAACGCAGCGAAAUGCGAUACGUAAUGUGAAUUGCAAAUUCAGUGAAUCAUCGAGUCUUUGAACGCACAUUGCGCCCCCUGGUAUUCCGGGGGGCAUGCCUGUCCGAGCGUCAUUUCUGCCCUCAAGCACGGCUUGUGUGUUGGGCCCCGUCCUCCGAUCCCGGGGGACGGGCCCGAAAGGCAGCGGCGGCACCGCGUCCGGUCCUCGAGCGUAUGGGGCUUUGUCACCCGCUCUGUAGGCCCGGCCGGCGCUUGCCGAUCAACCCAAAUUUUUAUCCAGGUUGACCUCGGAUCAGGUAGGGAUACCCGCUGAACUUAAGCAUAUCAAUAA
rnacentral:rRNA from 2 species